AUUGAACGCUGGCGGCAUGCCUUACACAUGCAAGUCGAACGGCAGCAUGGGUGCUUGCACCUGAUGGCGAGUGGCGAACGGGUGAGUAAUGCAUCGGAACGUACCCGGAAGUGGGGGAUAACGUAGCGAAAGUUACGCUAAUACCGCAUAUUCUGUGAGCAGGAAAGCGGGGGAUCGCAAGACCUCGCGCUUCCGGAGCGGCCGAUGUCGGAUUAGCUAGUUGGCGGGGUAAAGGCCCACCAAGGCAACGAUCCGUAGCGGGUCAGAGAGGAUGGUCCGCCACACUGGGACUGAGACACGGCCCAGACUCCUACGGGAGGCAGCAGUGGGGAAUUUUGGACAAUGGGGGCAACCCUGAUCCAGCCAGGCCGCGUGAGUGAAGAAGGCCUUCGGGUUGUAAAGCUCUUUCGGCUGGGAAGAAAUCGCAUCUCCUAAUACGGGGUGUGGAUGACGGUACCAGCAUAAGAAGCACCGGCUAACUACGUGCCAGCCGCCGCAGUAAAAC
rnacentral:rRNA from 1 species